rnacentral:rRNA from 1 species
UACAGAGGUCUCAAGCGUUGUUCGGAUUCAUUGCGCGUAAAGGGUGCGUAGGCGGCGCGGUAAGUCGGGUGUGAAAUCUUGGAGCUUAACUCCGAAACUGCAUUCGAUACUGCCGUGCUUGAGGACUGGAGAGGAGACUGGAAUUUACGGUGUAGCGGUGAAAUGCGUAGAUAUCGUAAGGAAGACCAGUGGCGAAGGCGGGUCUCUGGACAGUUCCUGACGCUGAGGCACGAAGGCCAGGGGAGCAAACGGG